AUCCAAUAAUAAAAUCUUAUUUUGAAAAAAAAAAGACUGUACUUGCCUCUGAAUAUUGUUACAUAGUCUUCUAAUACCUACAAUAUAGAUAUUCUGAUAUUAUUUUCAGUGGAAUUCUCUAGAAACAUUUUGAAUGAAAUAAAAUCUUGCAAAACCAGUUGAAUAUCCUGUUUCUAAUUACUAUCACUUUAGUCCUUCCGUAAUCCCCCCCUCAAUCGCUCUAAUAUACCUGGAUGCUUUACUAGCAUCUCCUCACUCUUCACAUCCAAUGCUUUUUGCUCUACUUCACAGGUGAGAGGAUCUGGCUAAGGAGUGUGACACUUGCAUAGGAGAAAAGAUUCUUCAGAAAGCACCCUGGAACUUUCCAUGGACUGAAAAUAAAAGAGGUUAACACCCUCCAAAAGGAUACAAGCAAGAAAAGAAAAGGUUUUGAAAAAAAAAAAAGUCUCGUUUCCUCUAAGGACUUCACUUUACUCUGAAAUGAGAUACUCAUUCACACACAGCUCACACCCAUGCAUAGUCCUGGGAACUGUGAGGAGGAGUUUGGGAGGUUGCUGUUCACUCACAGAAAACACCCUACUGCAAUUCUGGAACAGGAGGUCUCUAUAAAGAGCCCUGAGAGCAGGGUCUAGGCAUUCCCAUUCCUCCUAGAAGUUCACAGUCACGCAAUGUCAACAAACCAUGAAAUAUAAAACAACAGCUGGGCAGAUGUCUAGGGGCAGAGCGCUGUUCUUGAAAAAAGAAGGCAUUUUUCUGAUACAGGUAUAGCUGUGGCACCCGAUAAAGUAUAUUUUCCGAUUCAGCUAAACCUGGUUCCUCGCGUGAUUACUAUCUACAAACCUCUUGAGUAAGUAAGCAAGUGGUAAGACAAGAGAGUGAGAAAGCAUGGAUGAAUUAAAGUCCAGGAGUUUUGUAAUUUCCACAAUGGCAAAGAGAACCCUGUUUGCAAACAACAGAUAACGCAUAUGUUCUGCCAGAUUCCUGAAUAUUGUAAAAUGAAUAAGAAAAAAAAUCACGAUAAGCCCCUGUUCACAGAAUCUCAAACUUCCAGGAUAUGGUAAGAUAUCCACAACAGAAUUGUGAGAGUGGCGUCCUUAAGCAGCGGCCAAACCACACUCCCGGUCUUUUCCGAUAGUUCCCCAGCCCCGCAACUCCUCUGACCUGGGAGGUUCAGGGCCUCAGGGCUGCGGUUCUCACCGCUGGGCGGGUGAUUGCUAACUCUAGGGGAUUUUUCAAGUCCCGGAAUACGAGGCCCGCCUUCCACUUCAGGACCGGGGCACCCGGAGUCCUUCAGGGAAUGGAGGAAUUUCCUGUCACUGUGGUCUGGUUGGUUGGAAAGACUCCUCCACGACCCGCCCAACAGACAUCCGCUUCCUUCUACGCGUUCUCUCCAAACCCGCGGACUGUGGGCUCUUUUACUUAAUUAGCUUCCCAAUUCCUCCCAGCCAUUAUCAACGCUCCCCACCCUCUCCUCCCAGCCUCCCAAUGGCUUAGGAUCAGGCAGCUGUGCCCACUCUCCCCUUCAGGAACCGCCUCUUAGAAUCCAUCUCAAGCUGCCUUCCACGGAGCUGCUAGGCUGCCCUGGACCCUCUCGGUGCCCAGACUUCUCCGGAGCUUGCCGCCAGCCAAGACCAGAACUAGAUCUGGUAGGACACUAAACCAGGAUGAAAAUCCUGCUGUGUCUACAAUUUGAGUACUAAAUAAAAGAUUUGGCAAAUUCAAGGCACUUUUUAAAAUUCUGUAAAGUGGAAUUUCCAGUUUACAAAAGGACAAAAAGAUAGCAUAGUGAUGUUCAACUAUAUGAUUUCUUUGCAACAAGCAUUUUCUGAAGUAUUAAGAACUGAAGGAUCAUCACAGAGCCUGGUCACAUUCUUCAGAUUUCUACAUUUUGUCUCCAUCAUUAUAUUUGGUUAUUGAACUAGAAAAAUAUUUAUUGUUAUUUUUUAAAUAUUUUUUGAAAUUAGAAUUAUAUCAUUUCCUCACUUCCUUUCUUUCCCUCCCUUCCUCCACAUGAACUCUCAGAUGAAUCCUCACCCACAUGCUCUCUUUCAAACUCAUAGUCUUUUUUCUUUCAUUUUUGGUAAUUUAUAUGCAAAUAUUUUUACUGAAGAUUUUCUGUACAUUUAUAAUUUAAAAAAAUAUUAAGUCUUGUUGUUU